CACGGGACCACAGAGACACAGGAGGACAGUGUUGAAAAUGUGGCAUCACUUCCUGUUUCUCUGGAAAUCACCACGCUGCUGUGGAGCCUGAUGAUCCUCGUGGUCCUGAACUGGACUCAGCUGAGACUCACCAGCUCUUAGCGUCCGUCUGAUCACCUGACCCCCCCCCAAACAUGGCCGCCAUCACCUGGGAAGGAUGGAGGGGGAGGGGGAGGGGGGGGCAGUGGACAUGAGAAAUCGUCUCUGAUCUAAAAGGAGGCGUCAAGAAACAUUUAGAAGAGAAUAAAUAAAGAAUAUAAGAAUCGUCCAGACAUCACAUCAACACCUGGUCUCACCUGGUCUCACCUGUCCAUCUACCUGGUCUCACCCGAUCUCACCUGUCCAUCUACCUGGUCUCACCUGGUCUCACCUGGUCUCACCUGGUCUCCCCUGUCCAUCUACCUGUCCAUCUACCUGGUCUCACCUCGUCUCACUUGGUCUCACUUGGUCUCACCUGGUCUCACUUGGUCUCACCUGUCCAUCUACCCGGUCUCCCCUGUCCAUCUACCUGUCCAUCUACCCGGUCUCACCUGGUCUCACCUGGUCUCCCCUGUCCAUCUACCUGUCCAUCUACCUGGUCUCACCUGUCCAUCUACCUGGUCUUAAUUAACACGUAUCAGCUGCUGUCUCUGGUGGAUCUCUACCCACCACUGGACCAGAACCAGGACCGAAUGUUUUGUAGCUGAGUUUGGUUCUCAGCUCGGGUCAGUAGGUGGUCUUUAAUGGACCAGGACCCUGACGUGGACUCUAGAGACCAGGUGAGGAUGAUGUUGAUGUGACGUGUGAACGAGGUCUUAUUGAAUACGACAUUUAUCCAUCAUCACAUAUUCUAGACUCCUGUUGUGUCUCACGUUAAACUGAAUGUCUUUAAAAGCUCCUGUGUGUCCUCCAUCCACCCCGACCUCCUCCCGUCCUCACACCAGCACUUAUGUCCACUCUGGAGACAACAGACCAUGGACACUACUGGACACGCUGUGAAGCUGAAUGUUUGACAUGUCACAGUCAUUUGUAUUUUUCAAUAAAAAGGAUAAAAACUUGA